GAUCAGAAGUAAUUUCCUUCCUUCUCGAUGCCUCUACUUUGGGAAAUCGAGUAGGAGAAUAUAAGAGGCUGGACAGGAAAGGAGAAAAGAAGAAACACUGGUGCUGAGAAAAUUUUGUCAAUGAAUGAAUCAGGAGAACUGCAAGACCUCUUAACCAAAAUUGAGAGAGUACAGCAUCCACAUGAGUGCCCCUCCUGUGGAGGCUUUGGCUUUCUUCCGUGCUCCGUCUGCCACGGGAGCAAGAUGUCAGUGUUUCGAAACUGCUUUACAGACUCUUUCAAAGCUCUGAAGUGUACUGUCUGCAACGAGAAUGGUCUUCAGCGCUGUAAGAGCUGUGUUGGUUAGGUGGACCUCCCACCGGGGGAGCACCUCGAUUUAUUAACCAAAGUCAGUUGUAUGGUUUAUACUUUUUUUUUAAAGGUCAUGUUUAUGGACUAAUCAAUAAACUUUGUUUAUUGUAAUUGCCUUUGUUUUGAAUUUU